rnacentral:rRNA from 1 species
UACGGGGGGGGCAAGCGUUGUUCGGAAUUACUGGGCGUAAAGGGCGCGUAGGCGGUUGGAUAAGUCAGCUGUGAAAACCACGAGCUCAACUUGUGGCCUGCAGUUGAAACUGUCUGGCUAGAGUGUGGGAGAGGGAAGUGGAAUUCCUUGUGUAGCGGUGAAAUGCGUAGAUAUCAGGAGGAACACCGGUGGCGAAGGCGGCUUCCUGGACCACAACUGACGCUGAGGCGCGAAAGCUAGGGGAGCAAACAGG